rnacentral:lncRNA from 1 species
GUAAACAAGUAGUUCUUGUCACUCCCAAGUCAAAGGGUCAAACUCGAAGCAUGAACCCACGGAGCGGAUUGGGCUCCAUUAAGACUUGCUGAGAAGCUCUCUGCAGGGCUAUGCUAUGCAAGUGUGAGUCACUAAGGGAUAAAGACCUGAUCAGCCACACUGGAAAACGGAACCACUUCCACACGCAGGUCACACACAUUUCCAUCUGUUCAAAUCCUAAGAUGCUUCAGCACACUGUCAGAGCAACAAGAUGAACAUGAUGAAUGAAAUUCUUCCUCUUUAAUUCCAACACGCGUAAGGAGAAUGCGUAUCCCUUUGGUCAGAUGGACCGUGACAAAGAGGUAAGAAGACUCCCUCUUGUGGUUCUUGAGAAAAAUAAUUCCUGCUACGAGAUCACACAGAGAAAACAGAAAUUCUGGAUUCGAAGAUAACUUCAAAUUUCAUCGAAUUGCUGAGGAAUGGAUCUUCUUUGCAAGUGUGGUAUGGGGUAGUUACAUACAUUUCCCAAUGGUAAUGCAAUAUUUUAUUUAUUC